rnacentral:rRNA from 1 species
AUACGUAGGGAGCGAGCGUUGUCCGGAAUUACUGGGUGUAAAGGGAGCGUAGGCGGGAUGGCAAGUCAGAUGUGAAAACUAUGGGCUCAACCCAUAGACUGCAUUUGAAACUGUUGUUCUUGAGUGAAGUAGAGGUAAGCGGAAUUCCUGGUGUAGCGGUGAAAUGCGUAGAUAUCAGGAGGAACAUCGGUGGCGAAGGCGGCUUACUGGGCUUUUACUGACGCUGAGGCUCGAAAGCGUGGGGAGCAAACAGGAUUAGAUACCCUGGUAGUCCACGCUGUAAACGAUGAUUACUAGGUGUGGGGGGACUGACCCCUUCCGUGCCGCAGUUAACACAAUAAGUAAUCCACCUGGGGAGUACGGCCGCAAGGUUGAAACUCAAAUGAAUUGACGG